GGAGCAUGUGGUUUAAUUCGAUGCAACGCGAAGAACCUUACCAAGGCUUGACAUAUACCGGAAACGUUCAGAAAUGUUCGCCCCGCAAGGUCGGUAUACAGGUGGUGCAUGGUUGUCGUCAGCUCGUGUCGUGAGAUGUUGGGUUAAGUCCCGCAACGAGCGCAACCCUCGUCGUAUGUUGCCAGCACGUAAUGGUGGGAACUCAUAUGAGACUGCCGGGGUCAACUCGGAGGAAGGUGGGGAUGACGUCAAAUCAUCAUGCCCCUUAUGUCUUGGGCUUCACGCAUGCUACAAUGGCUGGUACAAUGGGCUGCAAUACCGCGAGGUGGAGCGAAUCCCAAAAAGCCAGUCUCAGUUCGGAUUGGGGUCUGCAACUCGACCCCANGAANUCGGANUCGC
rnacentral:rRNA from 1 species